UCAAUGUCAACAACAAAGGUGAACCUUUCAUCGCUGACAGAAAAAAUUGUCUAGUUGGAAGGAGAUACCAAUGAGUGUAGUAGCACCAAUGGCAUGUGUCAGUUUGAACUCAGAAAGUACAUGUCAUAGACAUUCAUAUUUCAGGGCACAAUGAUUUGUUCAGGUCUCAGGCCUUUAUACUUGGUAUCAUAUACAAUCCAUUCAGAUAACAGUUUUAGCAUUAGCAGACAAAGUAUAUAGCGUCACAAACAUAAAUUGCAGGUUACAUGCAAUUAUAAUUUGGACACAUAAUCAACAGAUGUACAUUUAUGUUUGUCAAUAGCAUGAUAUAAUUUAUGAUCUAGUCACAUGCAUUUUUAUUUAGACCAUGUACACAAACUUCAAGAGAUAUAAGAAAGUUACCCUCAAUUUCCUUAGUUCUGAACUCAUUCUCCUCAUAACGUUCUCGAACUUGUUUGUCAACAUCAUGAAAGUUUCAUGCACUUCGUCUCUAUAUUUAUAGAACCAAGUUUGUACUGUUUGUUGCAAUGACUCCAGCAAUGAUACAAUGGGGUAAUUCUUAGCUGCUUUGUGAUUGCGUUUACUGAUUCUACAAUGUUUGAUAUCAUUGUAGAGUAUCUAUUUGUCGGCAUAUGUAUUUUGAUCACUUUUCCGAGCUAACUUCAUCCUGCAAAAAUGUAUCAUACUAUGAGUUUCAUAUAAAAUGACAUAUGUGACCACUUCACUGCAUGUGACAAUUGUAUUUGAAAGUCAAUACAGUACCAUGUAAUUACGAAUCUUCCCAUUCAUCGCGUCCAGUUGUUGCAUGUUGUAUUCAAAUUUUUCCAAUGUGUAAGCACAGAC
rnacentral:lncRNA from 1 species